rnacentral:lncRNA from 1 species
GCUAGGCAGGCACUUUACCACUGAGCUAUAUCCUCAGCCUAUAAUUUAAAAAUAUGAAAAAUGUGCUUUGUGAUUUACCAUUUAUUUUUAGGGUGAGAUAGGCUACUAGGCCUAUUUAUGUAAACCAAACAUUUUCAUAUUGCACAGACAACAAUUAAGUGCAUCUUCCUAGUUUCAAAUCCCGUUUUUCUACUGAUUUCCUUUUUUAAAAAAAUACUUCUUUUUUAGUUGUAGUUGGACACAAUACCUUUAUUUUACUUAUUUAUUUUUAUGUCAUGCUAAGAAUCAAACCCAGCCCCUCACACAUGCUAGGCAAGUACUCUACCUUUCCUUUUUAAAAAACAUUCUUAACAAGCCACAACUCCACUUAUAUGAAUUAAUUCAAGGCAAGAAAAAUUUUUAAAAUUAUAUUCAAGAGUUUUAUGAUACUACUUUCAUAGAACUAUCAUACGUGGCAGCAUUUUCACUUAAAAUGUGUACACAUUCAGCCAGAUGUGGUGGCAAUGCCUGUAAUCCCAGCAACUCAGGAGGCUGAGCCAGGAAGAACACAAGUUUGAAGCCAGCCUCAGCAACUCAGUGACUUAGCAAGACCAAAUAUAUACACACAUACAUCCCUGAUUUAUUUUGUGAUAUAAAACACUAAUUUGUUCCAAGUAGGCCAUGUUUCUAUGAUUUAUUGUCAAGUGUCACAAUAAAUAGCUGUCACAUUAUUUUGCCCUCCUGUCUCUUCUCCCUGCAUAGAAAGGGC